rnacentral:rRNA from 1 species
GACGAACCGUGCGAACGUUAUUCGGAAUUACUGGGCGUAAAGCGUGCGCAGGCGGUUCGUCGUGUCCGAUGUGAAAGCCCCGGGCUCAACCUGGGAAUGGCAUUGGAAACUGGCGGACUCGAGUGUGGCAGAGGGGGGUGGAAUUCCGAGUGUAGAGGUGAAAUUCGUAGAUAUUCGGAAGAACACCAGUGGCGAAGGCGGCUCACUGGCCCGUUACCGACGCUCAGGCGCGACAGCGUGGGGAGCAAACAGG